rnacentral:rRNA from 1 species
GAGUUUGAUCCUGGCUCAGGAUGAACGCUGGCGGCGUGCUUAACACAUGCAAGUCGAACGAAGCGCUUGGAUGGAAUUCUUCGGAAGGAAGCUCAAGUGACUGAGUGGCGGACGGGUGAGUAACGCGUGGGUAACCUGCCUCAUACAGGGGGAUAACAGUUAGAAAUGACUGCUAAUACCGCAUAAGCACACGUGAUCGCAUGAUCGAGUGUGAAAAACUCCGGUGGUAUGAGAUGGACCCGCGUCUGAUUAGCUAGUUGGUGGGGUAAUGGCCCACCAAGGCGACGAUCAGUAGCCGGCCUGAGAGGGUGAACGGCCACAUUGGGACUGAGACACGGCCCAAACUCCUACGGGAGGCAGCAGUGGGGAAUAUUGCACAAUGGGGGAAACCCUGAUGCAGCGACGCCGCGUGAAGGAUGAAGUAUUUCGGUAUGUAAACUUCUAUCAGCAGGGAAGAAAAUGACG